GGUCAAGCCACAAAGAGCUAACGGCCGAUACCUAGGCACACAGAG
rnacentral:rRNA from 1 species